rnacentral:lncRNA from 1 species
UUCUGAUGGGCUUUCUGCUCCUCUUUCUUGUUUUUGCAGAAGAUUUGGUUGAGCAUGCUGAAUCGUCCUUCCUUCUUUUGGGGUUGGCUGUUUUGGGAGGGAAGAGGCCUAGCAGGCUCUGCUCUAGAGGAAUGGGAAAGAACAAGAAUGCCAUGUGAGGACAGGAAAUGGGGGAGAGGACAAGAUAGGACACCCCAAACCCCAUUCCAUCUGCUUGAUGAGCUAGCCUGGGCUCAUGCACACAUGCCCAUUGUCUUCAAGUCAAGGUUUUGCAUAAGAACUCCCAUUUUCUAUUAACUCCUUACAUAGGUGGUACCUCAGCACACACAUCCCCUUCCCCCUCCCUUCUCUCUCCUCUCUCUCUGAGGUGGGGACUCCACAUAACGUAGCCUCAAACUUGUAAUCUCUUAGCUUCAGGCUCUUGAGUUCUGUACUCAUGGUCAUGGGCUACCCACAUCUCUCAGGGGCUGGGUUCAUCCCUGCCCCCCAUUAUUUUGUUGUUGUUGUUUUUUGGCAGCAGCAUACAUUUAUGUACUGUACCCCUAUAAUGCAUGGAAGGAAGUCAUUUCACCCCAACUCUGCUCUCACCCCCCUCCUCUGCCUCCCUCCCCCCCUUCUCCCUCCUUUCUCCUCUCUCUGCAUGUGGAGGUUAGAGAUUGAUAUGGUGUGUCUUCCUCUGUGUCUGUCAACCUUACCUAUUUAUUUAAUCUUUGAUAUUUAUUUACAAUUGUGUGUAUGAAUAAGAGUUUUCAGGGAGAAGCUGCACUUCCCAUCCCCUUCCCCCCACAACCCCUGGGGGGUUGCAAUGUUACAAGUCCAGAGUCAAAUUAUCUCAGCACAUUUAAUACCCUUUUAGUAGCCAUUGGUUCCUCUUCUCUGACCCUCUACAUCAAUCAUGUGGUAUGAGCAAUCAACCAAAAGGCUGAGAAUGGCAGAAAGUACCUGAGGCCUUAGCAGAAACUCCCCUGCUCUCUUCUAACAUGUCUACCAAAGUUUCCAUCAAUGUAUUUGCCUUGAUUUGCAACUUGAUGUGUUCUGUUUCUAUGACAACUUCAUCUUCGAGACUUUGAGGCGGUGGUCGUGCACGCCUUUAUACAGAGAAACCCUGUCUCAAAAACCAAAACAAAACAAAAAACAAAAUAAAAAAGAAAAAGAAAAGAAAAGAAAACUUCUCUCCUUAUUGAUGUUGGGCUUUGACCAGAUGAAAUUUGUGUACCACAGUGCAAGCUUCAAGCAAGGCAUGGUUGGCUUUGUCCUUAGCCAGGCUCAAAACUUCGAGUAGAUCUGAAGCAAAGCCAUCACGGAAGGGGUACGGAGAACCGAGAGGAACAGACUGACAACACCUCCGACUCACAUACUGAGAGCCUCCGUGGCAAAUCUGUGACACCGGUUCUGAGCUGUCUGACCUACAGUUCCUUUCCUAUCUUGAGGCUGCAGGAUCACCCUGCAGGGACAGCAGGCUGGCCUCAGCCAUUGCAAUGAGGAGGGAAAAGUCAGGACCUGUGAUGUAAGGCUUGCUUGCUUCUCUGAGACCCAGGAUAAUGGUUGCAGUACUGAAAAACUGGGAGGCAUCUGCUCUGAGUUGGUUCUAGCAACUUUUAAGGAUCAACACCUGUUCUUAGGGAAAAAGCAGACUUCAACUUCAAUAAAAAAGAUCAUCAGGCUCGGUGCCUAAUCUAGACAAAGAUUCCUUUGCCAGCGCCAUCAACGACUGAAAAGAAAAUCCUCAUUAGUAAGGUCCAUGGCUUUAAAUUAAAAUACCUCUUAUACUCUGGAUAAGAAAUUAUGGCCAUUACAAUAUAACUCAGGCGAGAAGAAAAUACGAACUUCAUUAAGAACCAGGGCCCGCGUAGCUCAACAGCUCUCCUUCUGAGAACACUGCCUGUGUUCAGUGGAAAGUGGAAAAUCUGACAGCGCUGUAGUCACCGCUCUCCACAACAAUGAUUCUUCCUCCUCUUACUAAAAUAGAGCAGGGCUUGUUGUCUCAGGCACCAUAUUACCAGCAAUUAGGGAUAUAAUCGGAAAGGAUGGCCUUCAACAUCUUUAUUUUAAGGUUAACAUUAGGAGAAGAUGACUGGCAAUUCUCAGCACUUCCUGAGUUGCCAUGGAUACCUGUCAUCUCCUUGCCUGACCCUUGGCAGCAGUCACUUGGCAGUGGCUGCAGCCAUGGGCACCUGUGUGUGCCUCUUGUAAAAGUCUGACCGACUUGUCCCGUGUGUCUUGGGGGCUGGGAUACUGUAGACCAUCCCUCUGAAUAAGGUGAGACCAGACAUCUCACCUAGCUUUGCACUUCUUUCUCCAUGCCUUUUGUUGGGGGAUUUUCCAGAUAAUUCCUUUGCCUGCUCCUUGAUCUCACAAAAACCAUUAUUAUUUGUAUUUCGCUCUGCAUUUGUAUGAGUUUUCUCAGACAUAAUGGCGAUAGCUGUGUGCAUGGGGGAGAUUGUUUACGGCUGAGUCCUUUUCUACACCCGCUCCUGACACGGAUCCCAGGAGGUAGCUGCUAUUAUCACUGGCACAUUGGAGAGGUCAGAGAACAGAGGCAAGAGGGACCUAAGGAAUCUGCUCUGGCUCACAGCUAAGGAUUGGCUGAGCCAGGAUUGACGCUGUAGAGUCUGUAUGCUUUGAUCUUUGAGGAAAAGAUCCUGGAGGUUCAAGCUGAGGAAGCUGAAGUGAAAACUGCUGACCAGACCUAUCAUAUAGAGUCAUCAAAUCAUCAUGAAAACACAUCUCCGGGUGUGUCUGUGAAGGUGCUGCUGUAGACGUGGAAACAGACGGUAGACUUUUCCUGAAUGUGAGGAGCACGGUGCCAUGCGCUAGAGUCCCAGACUUCAUGACAAGGAGAAUGGGAGCUGAGCCCCUGAAGUUCAACCGCUUCCUGACUGUGGAUGAAGUGUGAUCAGCUGCCUCCAGCUCCUGUCACCAUGCUUCCUCCCAUGAUGCACUGCAUCCCCGCAAACUUCAAGUCUGAGCAACCCUUUCAUCCUUCAGUUGCCGAAUCAAACAGUCCCACUCUUCAGGACUUGGUGAAUCACAAGAGCAGAAAGAAAACUCUAACAACACUCAGCAGGGACUUAGCAAAUACUAUACAGGCAGGGGAGGCUAAGUAGUUCAUUCAAUGCCCCAAGUGGCUUUGGAAGAUUUUUUUCUUUGAAUGACAGCUCACUAGAGUAGCAGUUACAGCCAUGGGUAGAAAUGAGGGUAGAAAUGUGCAGGGUUGCAUCAGAGAACUAAGCCUCAUCCUCCCUGAACAUCUUUUCAACAAUGAACAUUGGCAACGACUUAACGGUUGUCAACAGAACGGUUGCUAACA